rnacentral:rRNA from 1 species
UGGGGAAUAUUGCACAAUGGGCGAAAGCCUGAUGCAGCGACGCCGCGUGAGGGAUGACGGCCUUCGGGUUGUAAACCUCUUUCGACAGGGACGAAGCGCAAGUGACGGUACCUGUAGAAGAAGCACCGGCCAACUACGUGCCAGCAGCCGCGGUAAUACGUAGGGUGCGAGCGUUGUCCGGAAUUACUGGGCGUAAAGAGCUUGUAGGCGGUUUGUCGCGUCGUCUGUGAAAACUCACAGCUCAACUGUGAGCUUGCAGGCGAUACGGGCAGACUUGAGUACUGCAGGGGAGACUGGAAUUCCUGGUGUAGCGGUGAAAUGCGCAGAUAUCAGGAGGAACACCGGUGGCGAAGGCGGGUCUCUGGGCAGUAACUGACGCUGAGAAGCGAAAGCGUGGGUAGCGAACAGGAUUAGAUGCCCUGGUAGUCCACGCCGUAACGGUGGGUACUAGGUGUGGGUUUCCUUCCACGGGAUCCGUGCCGUAGCUAACGCAUUAAGUACCCCGCCUGGGGAGUACGGCCGCAAGGCUA